CUAACUAAAUCUGGACUAAUAUAGUGUACGUGUGUAUCAAUUCCACCAGCAGUUAAGAUUAAUCCUUCUCCUGCUAAAGCUUCAGUACUAACACCUACUAUGAAAUCUACAUUAUCCAUUCCUAAUGGGUUUCCACCUUUUCCUAUAGCAGCUAUUUUACCAUCUUUAAUACCGAUAUCAGCUUUAUAAAUUCCUGUGUAGUCAAGAAUUGUUACUCCUGUAAUUAUUAAGUCAACUACUUUAGGAUUUUUUCUAGUUUCAAUAGAGUUUUGUCCCAUUCCAUCUCUUAG
rfam:Clostridium colicanis 209318 genomic scaffold acBRg-supercont1.1, whole genome shotgun sequence.